CUUGCGCUAAUCAAAAUGAACAUAUGAGAAAUGAGGGCAGUGCAUCUCGAGCUAGAGGCCAUGGAGAAGCAGAUCUGUGACCUGGUGGAGAACCAGGCCCAGCUGAGAAAGCGGACAGCCAUGCUGGAAACAUCCCUGGCUGAUGCUCACAAGACCGGGGUAAGUAUAUAGCGUACUGCUAACACUCCCACCAACUCUACUCCAUGUGUUUCUCUGCACAGGCUCGUGCACCCAGGACGCGAUCUUCCCAGGCGUCCUUCACUCCGGCGCCAGGACACCACAGACCCUGAGUGCAUCAGCAGCAGAAGACGCGAGCCAAGCCCCAGGACUUACACCAGCUUCAUUCUGGAUCCAGCCCUUACAAAGACCUGAGAUGACCGAAAACCUGAGAAAAGAUGAUGCCAACCCCCCAGAGGACCUCACAUGAUGCCAACCCUCAGACAAUAUAAAAAACUUCCAAAUCAUGCAUUACAUGACAUUAACUUACUAAACUAAAUUUUACAUAUUGAUAUGUCAGUAUCAUAUUUGGUCAUGGUAAAAAUGGGUCAUCAGAGAAACACUAAUGAAUUUUUCACUGUUUUGGUCAAUUAUAUUCGACCAUUCAAAACUGAAAAGUGAUUUAAAAAAAAAAAAAAAUUGGAUAAAUAUUUUCAGUCGCCGAAAUUUCUGUUCAACACUAUUUGUGACCCUGGAGCACAAAACCAGUCUUAAGUGUCAAUUUUUGAAAAAAAAAGUAGUGUAUGGUUUAUUAGGAUCGGACAAUAUUUGGCCGAGAUACAACUAUUUAAAAAUCUGGAAUCUGAGGGUGCAAAAAAAUACAGAGAAAUCCGCCUUUGAAGAUGUCCAAAUGAUGUUCUUAGCAAUGCAUAUAUUUACAGUAUGAAAUUUACAAAACAUCUUCAUGGAACAUGAUCUUUACUUAAUAUCCUG
ensembl:lncRNA